rnacentral:ribozyme from 1 species
GAAGCUCGAAAAAUCGCCCAAAAAAAACUCAGCGAACAAAAAGACGAAGAAAUCGAUCAACAAAACGCGAAAGAUCAGACCGAAUAAGUUUUAACUCUCUUGUUGAAACACUUCUUGCAUGUUUUUUGUUUGUUUGUUUGGUUUUACUUCAGAUGUAAG